rnacentral:rRNA from 1 species
AGUAACGCGUGGGUAACCUGCCUCAUACAGGGGGAUAACGAUGGAAACGAUUGCUAAUACCGCAUAAGCGCACAGUACCACAUGGUGCAGUGUGAAAAACUCCGGUGGUAUGAGAUGGACCCGCGUCUGAUUAGCUAGUUGGUGAGGUAACGGCCCACCAAGGCAACGAUCAGUAGCCGACCUGAGAGGGUGACCGGCCACAUUGGGACUGAGACACGGCCCAG